rnacentral:tRNA from 1 species
GUCCCUGUAGCGCAAUGGAUAGCGCGUUGGACUUCUUAUCCAAAGGUCGUGGUUUCGAGUCCCACCUGAAAUG